ACAUGCAGAGAACUUUCCAGAGAUGGAUUGGUGCCUUCGGGAACUCUGACACAGGUGCUGCAUGGCUGUCGUCAGCUCGUGUCGUGAGAUGUUGGGUUAAGUCCGUAACGAGCGCAACCCUUGUCCUUAGUUACCAGCACGUUAUGGUGGGCACUCUAAGGAGACUGCCGGUGCAAACCGGAGGAAGGCGGGGAUGACGUCAAGUCAUCAUGGCCCUUACGGCCUGGGCUACACACGUGCUACAAUGGUCGGUACAAAGGGUUGCCAAGCCGCGAGGUGGAGCUAAUCCCAUAAAACCGAUCGUAGUCCGGAUCGCAGUCUGCAACUCGACUGCGUGAAGUCGGAAUCGCUAGUAAUCGUGAAUCAGAAUGUCACGGUGAAUACGUUCCCGGGCCUU
rnacentral:rRNA from 1 species